ACCACAUACACACACACACAAUGCAUAAAUACGAGUCCUUCUUCUCAUCGGGUGUGGGCUCCAAGAGAGAAAAGUGAUGGUGCUGGUGGUGGUAGUUUGUGGAAUGGAAGAAGACGGCACGGAGUGAAAACGAAAUAUAUACUUU
ensembl:ncRNA F26F12.17 ncRNA